ensembl:lncRNA
UAUGCAGACAGUGAUCGUUUUCAGGAUAAAACUAACAACAAAGCUCUGCUCUCCAUGAGUGCAGUCAGAGACAGUGGUAUCUUUAGCCACAUUAGCUGUACAACAUGCUAACGAGCACAUACGGAAACGCGAUUUGGAAACAUUGAAAAAAAAAAUACAAGGCGAUUCUUACUUGUUCUGCAUAUGAUGUUUAAGCAUGAACAAUUGGUACUGACCCAUCUUUCAUAAUCAGCUUCUGCACAAAACCUGUGUUUAAACACUUGUUUACUAAAAUUCACACACACAUAUACAUGCGCAUAUAUAUAUAUAUAUAUAUAUAUAUAAGACUCUUCGGCACAUUUCCUUCCAUAAAUUAAAUUAAUCCACAGUGUUCUCCGUUGCUCAGAUGCAGAGUGUCUUUGUCAUUUGUCCAUCCAAAUACAUUUGUAAUGUUUAUGUGGCACAAUCAAAAUGUAAAUAGGAGCCAUAGCAACAAUAUAAACAUGGCUGACAAUGCGAGUAGCUGCACAUUGUCACCAGUCAUGGGCGGGGCUUACCCCUACAGUGUACUUCAAACACUGCUUCUGAUUUAUGGAGAUUAUAAAAAAAGAAAUGGAUGGAUUUGUACCAUUAUAGGCUGGUUGUUUAAACACACUGUGGACACACAUCAGUGUUCAAACGGCAUGCAACAGUGAAUUUUGCACCUUUUUUCGAAAUCCUCUCAAACAUCUGUUUGGUGAAUUUCGACCUCGAAAUUCCGUGAAAAGUGUGGUUUGCUUUACGGCAGCCACAAAUUCAUGUUAUCCAACGUAAUUACUACAGUGACAUACGUUUUUUUGUUUUUUACUUGUUAUUAUCAUUAUAGAUGUUGUUGCUGUUGCUGUGUCAAUAAUCAAUAAACUGAAUCAUUGUACGAGUAAAUAUUUUCCUAGCUGUAUUCGUUUGGAUGGAAGUCAUCACAUACUUUUCCUUCAGUGAUUUCUGUAGCUGAACAGAUGGAGGUUGGCUUGGCUGCAGCUGAUGCCAUGCGCGGAACGGAGUAUGAAGCAGGAGCUGAUCCAGAUAUUCUUUGCGCUGUUUUCCAUUAUCGGCAGGCCGCCAGGCCGGAUAAGAGGACAGAAUGAAAAGAAGCUUAACAAGACGAGAAGGACUCUUCUCCAUCAUCACCAAUCAGCCACUCUGGAGGAGGAUGGGUAUUACAGUCUUUUGAUGGAAGAUGACACAUCCUGUAUGCCAUUGAUUUACGUCCAUGGAUUGUGCUAUUUCAUUAUGGGGCAUUUGCAAUUUCCUGCGGGCUGAGACCAUUACUGUGGCCCUGCAUCUCAGCGUGUUGACCAUGAGCCAUAAUGAGAAAAGAGCAUGUGAGAGGUGGAGAGGAGCACGGGAGGGAAAAAAAGGGGGUGGAAGGGUGUAGAGAAUGUCUACAUUUAGCCAUUAGACUGUCAAAUUUAAAUAAGGCAAACUAGAAUGUCACAAAAAAAAAAAAACACACGCACACAAGCAAGGUGUGAAAAACAUCUCUGAUUAGAUGUAAGGGGAUAAAAGCUUGAAAGUAAUUUAAUCAGCUCUUUGUUCUUCCAAGCAGACGUGACAUAUUCUUCCUCUCUCCCUCCCAUCUCAGGCUCUCUUUCUAUUUUCUUCCUAAUGUUCCUAAACCCAUUAUGGGAAGGCCAUUCUUUGCAAAAGAAAGGUAAAAUGUGCUGUGUUGUGCACUCUCUUUGGUGCCGGCCUUUAUGCAUUAGAGUACCGCUGUUCCAUGUCACUGCAUUAGUCGGCUGUCAGCGAGUAAAAACGGAAUUGUCCUUUAAAAGCAGCUAGCAGUGGUGUGAUGUAGCAUGUAGGCUUAAUUAAAAGGAGUUUUGUGCCCAGAUCCGGCGAAGUUUCAUAUUUAAUGGACCACAGCAAAGAUCUAAACCAAAUGGUGCUCCUAUAGGCCGGGUGCAGCAGCUAAAACACCAUUAAUUAUUUUGUAAAAUGGCGCCCUUUCAAAGACAAACAUGCACUGCUUUAAACUAAGACUGUGUGCUCCCCGCCGAUUUAAUAAAUCAUUGUGAAAUGCGUCGGGGUCCGCAAAGCAAAAGAAUCAAGAGCAUUUUUUCUCAUCCUUGGUCUCAGACCAUUGAUUUUAACAGAUCAUUACGGAAACCGGAGCCCUUUGUAAGUGAUUUUCCAGGAUUUUUUUUAGCGUGGGAAAUAAAGAAUACUGGCAUCCAAGUGUAAUGCGUUUAAAGUUAAGUAAAAAUAUUUGUGUAUCAAUAUAUCAGACUUGAAAGGAGUGUAAUUGAAUUGACUAAUCAAUGCUGCUUUUUUCUUCAGUAUAUAAUUCAGUAACUUGUUCUAUUCUGCUCCUGUCUAAUAAUAAAUGUUACAAAAUGUGCAUAAAAAUGUUGUUAUGAGUAAAAAAUAGUUUAGAUAAUGGAACACUAUUAUAGAUGAGUUGGUGAUUUCAUAACCAGCACAUUUUUAACCAUUGCACAAAAGUGCAUUGUAUUUCUAAAUGUGAAUUUUCUAUUUAGUUUGCAAUGCUGUUUUGCAAAAUGUCUAAUAAUAAUACAUUUUUUUUAAGUGGCUUUAGCCCGUGGAGUUCUGAGUGUGCAGUGAUUGUUCUCUCGAGAGUAAUUAUACCAUAAAAGCCCACAGUGUAUAGCUAGCCGCACCUGCAGAGCUUUCUCCUGAAACGCCAGCUCUCAUUCUGGAACCCACGGCCUUGAUUUUAACUCUCACCUAUUCCCCAACACUCGGACAUGCUGCUGUGCACUGCUGCUGGAUUUCAACUGCAGGCCUGUUCGCAUAAAAUGACUUACACUGUGCUAGAAAUGAUUUGAACAGCUGGAAUGAGACAUCAUGGGGUCUCUUCCCGAUCUUCAGUUCAUUUGUAUUGUUUCCUGUGUUAAUGAGGGCGGCUUGUCAUUUGGAAAUAGCACCGGGUUGAAUUGAGUCCUGCCUUCUCAUUAGAAAGGAAAAAACUGGC